GUACCUGCUUUGGCAGUACCUACCCUACAACUGGAAAGAUACAGAGAUCAGCAAGGCCUCAGUACAAGGAUGACACAGAUUCACAAAGGGUUCCAUAUUUUU
ensembl:snRNA U6 U6 spliceosomal RNA